rnacentral:rRNA from 1 species
UGGGGAAUAUUGCACAAUGGGCGCAAGCCUGAUGCAGCGACGUCGCGUGGGGGAUGACGGCCUUCGGGUUGUAAACUCCUUUCGCUAGGGACGAAGCUUUUUGUGACGGUACCUAGAUAAGAAGCACCGGCUAACUACGUGCCAGCAGCCGCGGUAAUACGUAGGGUGCGAGCGUUGUCCGGAAUUACUGGGCGUAAAGGGCUCGUAGGUGGUUUGUCGCGUCGUCUGUGAAAUUCCGGGGCUUAACUCCGGGCGUGCAGGCGAUACGGGCAUAACUUGAGUACUGUAGGGGUAACUGGAAUUCCUGGUGUAGCGGUGAAAUGCGCAGAUAUCAGGAGGAACACCGAUGGCGAAGGCAGGUUACUGGGCAGUUACUGACGCUGAGGAGCGAAAGCAUGGGUAGCGAACAGG